AUGGUAUUGACACAUUGUGAUUUCUGCCCAGUGCUCUGAAUGGUGAUCUCAACCAAGCGUGG
rnacentral:rRNA from 1 species